CAUCUUGUCAUCUGUACUGUGGGAAAAGAAGAGGACUUGUCUGUGGCUCCUUGGGGUCACUGUGAGAAUCAGGGAGCUUCCAACAUCUUUGAGGAAACAAUUUCUUUUGAUCACAGAAGAAAAGAAAGAAAUAUUAACCGUGGAGUGGCCACCAGUGAGAAGGCUUCUGUGUAUUGGCCCUUACAAAGGACAAGGGGCCUUGGUGAGAGAGAACAUGUGGAGGUGACUGAAUGGGAGUGAGAAAUACAGGUGCUUCUUUAUUCUACUUAACCACUUUGGAUGAGGUGAAUCCGGUCACUAUGGAAAUACAACACUGCUGUUGUAGACCCUUGGAGAGGAUAGUCUGAUGACUUAAUGAUCAAGUCCUAAACCUUCUUCUCCAUCAAGAGUCCCCACAACAAAACCCUGCGGUGACCUAUUUGUAGAACUGGGCUUCAGUUUCCUCACAUGGAAAUCACACUGAGAUCUCUCUGGAAGGACCCAUGAGAGAUGCCGUGUGAGAGGGCUUUAUAAGCCACAGUGCACUGAACAGCUGUAGUUCAUACUGCACCAGAUGAGGAGAAGAAACUGGAAGAAUCGUACUCAGACUGGUUUGUCAUAACUGCUA